AUUGAACGCUGGCGGCAGGCCUAACACAUGCAAGUCGAGCGGAGCGGCGGACGGGUGAGUAAUGCCUAGGAAUCUGCCUGGUAGUGGGGGAUAACGUCCGGAAACGGGCGCUAAUACCGCAUACUAUCAGAUGAGCCUAGGUCGUAUUAGCUAGUUGGUGGGGUAAAGGCCUACCAAGGCGACGAUCCGUAACUGGUCUGAGAGGAUGAUCAGUCACCUGGCAACUGGGACCCGGUCCAGCCUCCGACGUGAGGCAGCAGUGGGGAAUAUUGGACAAUGGGCGAAAGCCUGUUCCAGCCAUGCCGCGUGUGUGAAGAAGGUCUUCGGAUUGUAAAGCACUUUAAGUUGGGAGGCGUUACCUACAUAAUAAGCACCGGCUAACUUCGUGCCAGCAGCCGCGGUAAUUC
rnacentral:rRNA from 1 species